rnacentral:rRNA from 1 species
GAUGAACGCUGGCGGCGUGCCUAAUACAUGCAAGUCGAGCGAACAGACGAGGAGCUUGCUCCUCUGACGUUAGCGGCGGCCGGGUGAGUAACACGUGGAUCACCUACCUAUAAGACUGGGAUCACCUCGGGAAACCGGAGCUAAUACCGGAUAAUCUAUUCAACCGCAUGGUUCAAUAGUGACAGACGGUUUUGCUGUCACUUAUAGCUGGAUCCGCGCCGCAUUAGCUAGUUGGUAAGGUAACGGCUUACGAAGGCAACGAUGCGUAGCAGACAUGAGAGAAUGAGCAGACACACUGGAACUGAGACACGGUCCAGACUCCUACGGGAGGCAGCAGUAGGGAAUCUUCCGCAAUGGGCGAAAGCCUGACGGAGCAACGCCGCGUGAGUGAUGAAGGUCUUCGGAUCGUAAAACUCUGUUAUUAGGGAAGAACAAAUAUGUAUGUAACUAUGCACGUCUUGACGGUACCUAAUCAGAAAGCCACGGCUAACCUCGUG